GUGGGGAAUUUUGGACAAUGGGCGCAAGCCUGAUCCAGCCAUGCCGCGUGCAGGAUGAAGGCCUUCGGGUUGUAAACUGCUUUUGUACGGAACGAAAAGACUUCUUCUAAUACAGGAGGUCCAUGACGGUACCGUAAGAAUAAGCACCGGCUAACUACGUGCCAGCAGCCGCGGUAAUACGUAGGGUGCAAGCGUUAAUCGGAAUUACUGGGCGUAAAGCGUGCGCAGGCGGUUAUAUAAGACAGAUGUGAAAUCCCCGGGCUCAACCUGGGAACUGCAUUUGUGACUGUAUAGCUAGAGUACGGUAGAGGGGGAUGGAAUUCCGCGUGUAGCAGUGAAAUGCGUAGAUAUGCGGAGGAACACCGAUGGCGAAGGCAAUCCCCUGGGCCUGCACUGACGCUCAUGCACGAAAGCGUGGGGAGCAAACAGGAUUAGAAACCCGUGUAGUCC
rnacentral:rRNA from 1 species